AUCCCAUGAUGAGGACAGCGGCCACGUAUUCCUGCAGAUGUUAUCAUGCUACGGGAAUCGUCUCAUCUCUGGUCUGCUGGAAACUUGAUAUCCUUCCAUGAAGGGC
rnacentral:snoRNA from 1 species